AAGUCGUAACAAGGUCUCCGUAGGUGAACCUGCGGAGGGAUCAUUACAGAGUUCAUGCCCUUCGGGGUAGACCUCCCACCCGUGUGAACGAUACCUUUGUUGCUUUGGUUGGCCGCGGGCCCGCCCGCUACCGGCUCUGCUAGUACGCGCCAACCAGAGGCCCUAACUCCUGUCUUCUGUGCCGUCUAAGUCCCAUAUAAUCGUUAAAACUUUCAACAACGGAUCUCUUGGUUCUG
rnacentral:misc_RNA from 1 species